rnacentral:rRNA from 1 species
AACGAACGCUGGCGGCAUGCCUAACACAUGCAAGUCGAACGAGACCUUCGGGUCUAGUGGCGCACGGGUGCGUAACGCGUGGGAACCUGCCCUUAGGUUCGGAAUAACUCCCCGAAAGGGGUGCUAAUACCGGAUAAUGUCUUCGGACCAAAGAUUUAUCGCCUUUGGAUGGGCCCGCGUUGGAUUAGCUAGUUGGUAGGGUAAAAGCCUACCAAGGCGACGAUCCAUAGCUGGUCUGAGAGGAUGAUCAGCCACACUGGGACUGAGACACGGCCCAGACUCCUACGGGAGGCAGCAGUGGGGAAUAUUGGACAAUGGGCGAAAGCAUGAUCCAGCAAUGCCGCGUGAGUGAUGAAGGCCUUAGGGUUGUAAAUCUCUUUUACCCGGGAUGAUAAUGACAGUACCGGGAGAAUAAGCUCCGGCUAACUCCGUG